AAAGGGACAGCCGAACGAAAGGCUCAACUUCCUCCUUCAUCAGCUCCAAGUUCCAGGACAAGAGGCAGAACCUGUCACCCAAGAGACUCCCCUCAGGGCACCCACUGCUGGAUCCAACAGGUCUGCCCCAGUGCCAGCCCCUAGAACUACAGGCUUCUGUAAGCUUCGACUUCCACAUGCAAACCAAGUACGCUCAGGCUUUUAAAGUGCAAUCCUCUUUGUUCAAAAUAUUCUUCCUCCUCUGGCCAGGCUGACUCCUUUUCUCAAUCCUCAGGUCCCAGGAGGGCUGUCACUGCCCAGCACCUCUCCUCAACCUCCUGUGUGCUCUCUGAGCAUUGUGUACCCGCUCCUGGUGCCACACAGACUCUUGCCACGACCUCUUCUUUGUCUCUGUUUCCAUUGGCUGUGUCUCAUUCUCCAUUGCAUCUGCAGCACCCAGCCCUGCACCUGGCACAUAAAAGACCCUCAGUGGUAUUUCAUCAAUAAAUGGGAAUGGUCUUACCCUUCCACGCCCACAGACACACUUGCACCCAGACUUCUGCAGCCCCUGCCCUCCCAAUGACCUUGCCUUGAAGACUCUGCAGUUCUCACCUUUGACAGCUUUCUGGGAAUUCGACCGUCCCCAGGCUGUCCUCUUCAUUGAUGCCUUUGCCACUUAAACCAAAAUGUGCUGUGCUUUUCUAGGUUUCUGCUUCUUGCCGAGUGUCUAUCUCUUAUUCUACCGACCAUCACCA
rnacentral:lncRNA from 1 species